CCAGCCUCCGUGAUGAGAGGCACUGCCAGGCAGCAGUCAAAGUCCCUCGUCCUCACGUGGUUCACCUGGACGAAGACGCAGAGACACAGAGAAUGGCUGCUCUGGAUCCUGUCAUAGGGUUUGAGCCCGGCUCGGUCAGCUGGCCCAUCUGGUCUGAUCAUGUUGACGUAAACACCUUUCUCCAAGAAGCCGUCUGACACGCUGAAGCCAAAGUCGUCACUCUCUGGGUCCUUUAUCACUGUUACCUGGAGAAGGUCAACACAAGGACGUGAGAAACAACUGGAUGACUUGGCGGAAAGACGAACCCGGACAACUAGUACCCGACACUGACAAGAUCCAGAGGUGGUUGCCAAGCAGUAAACACUUCUGAGUAAGGGUGAAGUUGGUCUUACUGUUUAAGAGCAGUCACUUUCUGAUGACCUUCAUUGCUUCAGAUGUAGGUCGACACAUCAAAAGUAAGGUUUCAUCUGGGGACAGUUUCAGUUUAGUGGCCUUGUUGACAAAAUUGGUAAAAAUUUUGGAUUCGUUGAGACUUCCAACAAUGAUUGUGGUAAUAUGUU